CUUGCUUGAGGUGACUGCUGGUGUGGAGGCCAGGAGAUGUGGGAGGAGGUUAUUACUUGGAGGGAGAGUCCCCUCCAUUAUGACAUGAGGGAGACCUCCUUCAGGGGUUUCCUCUCUUCCUUGUCUCUUAGCUGCAGGGUCAGUUUUGAUGAAAAAGCUGUCUAAUGUCACUGGUUUUUCCUGUGCUGUGCAUAACCCUCCGGAAAUGAGAGCACACCAUUGCUCAUCAGAUUCAGCACUCUGCUCCUUACAGUUACGUUGGGGUGGGGCUCCUCAAAGAAAUCCAGGCACUCAUUCCAUUUUUCCAUAGUGGAUUUUAUCACAUCACUGUAGCCUCCUCCCUGUCUUCCUCUUCCUCGGUGCAUGCUCCUGAGCAAGAGCCUUCUGUUGCUCAUUCUGGAGUUCAGCGAGUUCUUCUGUCAUCAGCUCCUCCUUAUGGUCCUCAAUAAACUCCUCACCAUCAACUCCAGACCCAUACUUCUGCCCAUGGACACAAUCACCUCCACGACCCAUACCUCAGACCCUUCGCAGUCACCUUCAGUGGCACGUUCUAGCCACAGUGUCCUCCAGGCUGAGUUUAAGGUCCAGUGUGUGACAUCUUCCCCGGCUUUGUCAGUGAGGUUGAUGCAGUGGAGAUCACUGAGAUGUUUCUUCCAGAACUCUGUCAGAGUCAAGGACGUCUCUUCAGCGACAUUAAAACACCUGGGGAAGCCUGGACCACCGCCACCGCCCAGCCAGUGCCCUCCCAUUUCCUUCUUCGGGAGGGAGGAAAUGUCCUUCAGGUCACUUUCAGGGAAGCAGCAGGAUGUACCACUCUACUGUCGCUAGCAACAAGGGAUAACUGUGUGGCAUGAGGAAGGAGCUGUUGACUGAAAUGAAAUGAGGCACAAAAGUUGCUGAGAAGAAAGAAGAGUGAAAAAUGACUCAAGCUGGGCAGGAAGAUCUCUUGGAUGCAGGAGUUUGAGACCAUCUUGGGCAACAAAGUGAGACCCUGUCUCUUAAAACAAAUCAAAGCAAAACAAGACAACAAUAACAAAACUAGGAAGAAAAAAAAUGACUCAAGUUUAAUCAUCAGCUGAGUAAUGGUUGAAAUUGUAUGAGAGUUACUUUUCUUCCAACAUCUAAAACAAGUAUGUUUCAAAAUAUUAGAACAUGAAAACUCUCUGCUUUUAAAAAGAAAAUUCUAUUAAUACCUGGCGUGAUGGUACACUCCUAUAAUCCCAGCACUUGGGAAGCUGAAGCAGAAUUGCCAUGACUUUGAGACCAACCUGGGCUACACAGUAAUUUCAAGGCCAACCUGAACAAAAUAAUGAGAUCUCCCCAAUAAUAAAAAACCCCAAACCAAAAAUACUGUAAAUCCUGGGCCGGGAGUGUAGCUCAGGAGUACAGCCCCUGCCUGGAAAGUACAAGGCCCUGAGUUCGAUUCCUGGUACCAAAAACAAAACAAAACUAUAAGCCUGUGGUAAAAUAAUGUAUCUCAGGGCUGGGGAUUUAGCUCAGCAGUGCCACCACCUGCCUUGCAAGCACUAGGUCCUAAGUUCGAUCCCCAGUACAAAAAAAAAAAAAUUGUAUCCCAUAGUAAAAAUUAAAAUUAACUUUCAUUUAUUUGUUUUGCAGUACUGGGAAUCAAACAACCCAGGGUCUUGGACUUGCUAGACAAAUACUCUACCACUGAGCUAUAUUCCCAGCCCCAUAAAUUAGUAUUUUAAUUUGAUAAACUCAAAAUUACUAUUUUAAAAGGAGGGGGGAGGGGAUGAAAAAAGAAUUAAGAUUUGUUAUGUGCAUGUAUCAUCUCCUAUGAUGAACGUACUGUAAACAUUUACUAAUACAAAACAGAGGGAAAAAAGCACCUGAGGAGGAGCGCCUCUGUGUGCAGCUUCUUGAAGUUGCAGGUCAUUUACCGGUCCAUGGGCUGCAAAAGAGGUGUCGUGGUGGGGGAGGGGUUGGCCUUUAUGAUGUCAUACUCAGCGUCCAUGUCACUCACCAAGGCUGGAGGGUGUGCCGGGCACCGUCCAUCAGAGGAUGGCUCCUUUCAGGCAGUUGGUUGUCAGAUAUUUCUUAAUGGUGCAUGCAAACACCUCAUGCAGCCAUUCCAUGAACAACUGCCUUGUGACCCAAGCUUUUGCAUUGGCUCCCCACACAACAGGCAGGCUGGUCUCGUCCACAUUCUUGUUAAAUGCAUGAGGGGUCUGGGAAUGGUGUCCCAACAGUGGCCUAAUCUUCAGAUCAGCGCUUGUGCUCACACACAGCAAAAGCUUCAAUCUGUCCUUCACGGCCUUGUGCCUGGCAGUGCCUUUUCCUCCUGUGUGAUAUAGGUUCUGUUCUACAUCUUCUUCCAGAAGAGCCCUGCUUCAUUGAAGUUGAACACUGGUUGAGUGAUACAUCCUCCUGCCUUCACGAAUUCCAGGAAUUGUCUUGUAGGCUUCUGCAGCAACCUUGUCAGAACUGGAAGCCUCACCAGGUCUUAUCACACUGUGGAUGCCACUUCUCUUCCGGAAUUUAUCAAACCACCCUCUACUGGCUUUAAAUUCGCUUGUUGCACUUGUAGAGGGGUUUUCUUGUGGUAAAUCACUGUGCAAUUUCCUGGCUUUUUCACAGGUCAUACCUUCACUAGUGCUAUUACCUGUCAGCUGAUUCUCAUUCAACCACACUGACACAAGUUUCUCCACCUCUUCUUGGUUAACGUCACAACUCCUUUUGCCAUAUCAGCUCCUUUGAUGGCACCUUUAUUCUUCAAAAUAGUCAAGAUUGUCAACUUUGCCAUCUGAUUCUCUGAGACCAGAUCAGUCACACAAAUAUCACGCUCAUGCCUUUCUGCAGUUUCCUUCUUCAAUUCAGUGGUUUGGGGGUUUUUUCAAGACCUUCUUACCAUUCUUGCUCUGCACUUUCCAGUUACCUUCAUUACUGCUCUGCACAUUCUUCUCACCCUCAUUACCACUUUGAAUUUUCUUUUCACCAUCAUGCUUACUCUACACUUUAUUUGGAGCCACGCUGGAUUGAAUAAUACUGUACAAUACCAUAACUGCUUAAACGCACAAAAAACUUCACAGCAAGUGUGCACAGAGCUGUCUGCAAGCGUGAUCUCAACUAGAGGAAGCCACAACCAUGUGUCAGAGCAGGGAAGUUGGCAGCAGUCGUGUUUGUCGCCUGAUGCAGACUUUGCGAAUGGAGGCGAAUUUUUGCUGAAUGCUUCUGUUAGUGAACGGAAUUGUUGGCAAAAAGAGAUGUUCAUGAACUGAGGUAUUACU
ensembl:lncRNA